GGGAGGCUAAAACUGCAGUCGAGCGAGCUUGCCUAGAUGAUUUUAGUGCUUGCACUAAAUGAAACUAGAUACAAGCGAGCGGCGGACGGGUGAGUAACACGUGGGUAACCUGCCCAAGAGACUGGGAUAACACCUGGAAACAGAUGCUAAUACCGGAUAACAACACUAGACGCAUGUCUAGAGUUUGAAAGAUGGUUCUGCUAUCACUCUUGGAUGGACCUGCGGUGCAUUAGCUAGUUGGUAAGGUAACGGCUUACCAAGGCAAUGAUGCAUAGCCGAGUUGAGAGACUGAUCGGCCACAUUGGGACUGAGACACGGCCCAAACUCCUACGGGAGGCAGCAGUAGGGAAUCUUCCACAAUGGACGAAAGUCUGAUGGAGCAACGCCGCGUGAGUGAAGAAGGGUUUCGGCUCGUAAAGCUCUGUUGGUAGUGAAGAAAGAUAGAGGUAGUAACUGGCCUUUAUUUGACGGUAAUUACUUAGAAAGUCACGGCUAACUACGUGCCAGCAGCCGCGGUAAUACGUAGGUGGCAAGCGUUGUCCGGAUUUAUUGGGCGUAAAGCGAGUGCAGGCGGUUCAAUAAGUCUGAUGUGAAAGCCUUCGGCUCAACCGGAGAAUUGCAUCAGAAACUGUUGAACUUGAGUGCAGAAGAGGAGAGUGGAACUCCAUGUGUAGCGGUGGAAUGCGUAGAUAUAUGGAAGAACACCAGUGGCGAAGGCGGCUCUCUGGUCUGCAACUGACGCUGAGGCUC
rnacentral:rRNA from 1 species